CCUGCGGCGUAUCAGGUUGUAGGGGGUGUAACGUACCCUCUAGCCAUCAACGCGUACGGGUGUUGGGAGACAUAGCCCGGAGAUGGAUUCUGAGACACGAAUCCAGACCCUACGGGGUGCAGCAGGCGCGAAAACUUGGCAAUGCGAGAAAUCGUGACCAGGGAACUCCAAGUGGCUGGGGUAAGACCCAGUCUUUUCUUGACUCUUAAACGGUCUUGGAAUAAGGGGUGGGUAAGGACGGUGCCAGCCGCCGCGGUAAUACCGGCGCCUCAAGUGGUAGUCGAUUUUAUUGGGCCUAAAACGUCCGUAGCCUGUUUGGUACAUUCGUGGGUAAAUCAACCAGCUUAACUGAUUGAAUUCUGCGAGCACGGCCAGACUUGGGACCGGGAGAGGUGUGGGGUACGCUCAGGGUAGGGGUAAAAUCCUGUCAUCCUGAGCGGACCACCUGUUGCGAAGGCGCCACACUAGAACGGAUCCGACGGUCAGGGACGAAGCCUAGGGGCACGAACCGGAUUAGAUACCCGGGUAGUCCUAGGUGUAAACGCUGUGGACUUGGUGUUGGGGAUUCUCCGAGGAUCCUCAGUGCCGAAGCGAAGGUGAUAAGUCCACUGCCUGGGGAGUACGGUCGCAAGGCUGAAACUUAAAGGAAUUGGCGGGGGAGCACCGCAACCUGAGGAUUGUGCGGUUUAAUUGGACUCAACGCCGGGA
rnacentral:rRNA from 1 species